rnacentral:rRNA from 1 species
GGGUUGUGAGGUUAAGCGACUAAGCGUACACGGUGGAUGCCCUGGCAGUCAGAGGCGAUGAAGGGCGUGCUAAUCUGCGAUAAGCGCCGGUAAGGUGAUAUGAACCGUUAUAACCGGCGAUACCCGAAUGGGGAAACCCAGUGUGACUCGUCACACUAUCAUUAACUGAAUCCAUAGGUUAAUGAGGCGAACCGGGGGAACUGAAACAUCUAAGUACCCCGAGGAAAAGAAAUCAACCGAGAUUCCCCCAGUAGCGGCGAGCGAACGGGGAGGAGCCCAGAGCCUGAAUCAGCAUGUGUGUUAGUGGAAGCGUCUGGAAAGGCGCGCGAUACAGGGUGACAGCCCCGUACACAAAAGCGCAUGUGCUGUGAGCUCGAUGAGUAGGGCGGGACACGUGGUAUCCUGUCUGAAUAUGGGGGGACCAUCCUCCAAGGCUAAAUACUCCUGACUGACCGAUAGUGAACCAGUACCGUGAGGGAAAGGCGAAAAGAACCCCGGCGAGGGGAGUGAAAAAGAACCUGAAACCGUGUACGUACAAGCAGUGGGAGCACAGGUUUACCUGUGUGACUGCGUACCUUUUGUAUAAUGGGUCAGCGACUUAUAUUCUGUAGCAAGGUUAACCGUAUAGGGGAGCCGUAGGGAAACCGAGUCUUAACCGGGCGUUAAGUUGCAGGGUAUAGACCCGAAACCCGGUGAUCUAGCCAUGGGCAGGUUGAAGGUUGGGUAACACUAACUGGAGGACCGAACCGACUAAUGUUGAAAAAUUAGCGGAUGACCUGUGGCUGGGGGUGAAAGGCCAAUCAAACCGGGAGAUAGCUGGUUCUCCCCGAAAGCUAUUUAGGUAGCGCCUCGUGAAUUCAUCUCCGGGGGUAGAGCACUGUUUCGGCUAGGGGGCCAUCCCGGCUUACCAACCCGAUGCAAACUGCGAAUACCGGAGAAUGUUAUCACGGGAGACACACGGCGGGUGCUAACGUCCGUCGUGAAGAGGGAAACAACCCAGACCGCCAGCUAAGGUCCCAAAGUCAUGGUUAAGUGGGAAACGAUGUGGGAAGGCCCAGACAGCCAGGAUGUUGGCUUAGAAGCAGCCAUCAUUUAAAGAAAGCGUAAUAGCUCACUGGUCGAGUCGGCCUGCGCGGAAGAUGUAACGGGGCUAAACCAUGCACCGAAGCUGCGGCAGCGACGCUGAUGCGUUGUUGGGUAGGGGAGCGUUCUGUAAGCCUGUGAAGGUGGCCUGUGAGGGUUGCUGGAGGUAUCAGAAGUGCGAAUGCUGACAUAAGUAACGAUAAAGCGGGUGAAAAGCCCGCUCGCCGGAAGACCAAGGGUUCCUGUCCAACGUUAAUCGGGGCAGGGUGAGUCGACCCCUAAGGCGAGGCCGAAAGGCGUAGUCGAUGGGAAACGGGUUAAUAUUCCCGUACUUGGUGUUACUGCGAAGGGGGGACGGAGAAGGCUAUGUUGGCCGGGCGACGGUUGUCCCGGUUUAAGCGUGUAGGUGUGUGUUCCAGGUAAAUCCGGUUCACUUUAACACUGAGGCGUGAUGACGAGGCACUACGGUGCUGAAGCAACAAAUGCCCUGCUUCCAGGAAAAGCCUCUAAGCAUCAGGUAACAUCAAAUCGUACCCCAAACCGACACAGGUGGUCAGGUAGAGAAUACCAAGGCGCUUGAGAGAACUCGGGUGAAGGAACUAGGCAAAAUGGUGCCGUAACUUCGGGAGAAGGCACGCUGACACGUAGGUGAAGUGAUUUACUCAUGGAGCUGAAGUCAGUCGAAGAUACCAGCUGGCUGCAACUGUUUAUUAAAAACACAGCACUGUGCAAACACGAAAGUGGACGUAUACGGUGUGACGCCUGCCCGGUGCCGGAAGGUUAAUUGAUGGGGUCAGCGCAAGCGAAGCUCCUGAUCGAAGCCCCGGUAAACGGCGGCCGUAACUAUAACGGUCCUAAGGUAGCGAAAUUCCUUGUCGGGUAAGUUCCGACCUGCACGAAUGGCGUAAUGAUGGCCAGGCUGUCUCCACCCGAGACUCAGUGAAAUUGAACUCGCUGUGAAGAUGCAGUGUACCCGCGGCAAGACGGAAAGACCCCGUGAACCUUUACUAUAGCUUGACACUGAACAUUGAGCCUUGAUGUGUAGGAUAGGUGGGAGGCUUUGAAGCGUGGACGCCAGUCUGCAUGGAGCCGGCCUUGAAAUACCACCCUUUAAUGUUUGAUGUUCUAACGUGGACCCGUGAUCCGGGUUGCGGACAGUGUCUGGUGGGUAGUUUGACUGGGGCGGUCUCCUCCUAAAGAGUAACGGAGGAGCACGAAGGUUGGCUAAUCCUGGUCGGACAUCAGGAGGUUAGUGCAAUGGCAUAAGCCAGCUUGACUGCGAGCGUGACGGCGCGAGCAGGUGCGAAAGCAGGUCAUAGUGAUCCGGUGGUUCUGAAUGGAAGGGCCAUCGCUCAACGGAUAAAAGGUACUCCGGGGAUAACAGGCUGAUACCGCCCAAGAGUUCAUAUCGACGGCGGUGUUUGGCACCUCGAUGUCGGCUCAUC